rnacentral:rRNA from 1 species
GAUGAACGCUGGCGGCGUGCCCAAUACAUGCAAGUCGAGCGAACGGACGAGAAGCUUGCUUCUCUGAUGUUAGCGGCGGACGGGUGAGUAACACGUGGAUAACCUACCUAUAAGACUGGGAUAACUUCGGGAAACCGGAGCUAAUACCGGAUAAUAUUUUGAACCGCAUGGUUCAAAAGUGAAAGACGGUCUUGCUGUCACUUAUAGAUGGAUCCGCGCUGCAUUAGCUAGUUGGUAAGGUAACGGCUUACCAAGGCAACGAUGCAUAGCCGACCUGAGAGGGUGAUCGGCCACACUGGAACUGAGACACGGUCCAGACUCCUACGGGAGGCAGCAGUAGGGAAUCUUCCGCAAUGGGCGAAAGCCUGACGGAGCAACGCCGCGUGAGUGAUGAAGGUCUUCGGAUCGUAAAACUCUGUUAUUAGGGAAGAACAUAUGUGUAAGUAACUGUGCACAUCUUGACGGUACCUAAUCAGAAAGCCACGGCUAACUACGUGCCAGCAGCCGCGGUAAUACGUAGGUGGCAAGCGUUAUCCGGAAUUAUUGGGCGUAAAGCGCGCGUAGGCGGUUUUUUAAGUCUGAUGUGAAAGCCCACGGCUCAACCGUGGAGGGUCAUUGGAAACUGGAAAACUUGAGUGCAGAAGAGGAAAGUGGAAUUCCAUGUGUAGCGGUGAAAUGCGCAGAGAUAUGGAGGAACACCAGUGGCGAAGGCGACUUUCUGGUCUGUAACUGACGCUGAUGUGCGAAAGCGUGGGGAUCAAACAGGAUUAGAUACCCUGGUAGUCCACGCCGUAAACGAUGAGUGCUAAGUGUUAGGGGGUUUCCGCCCCUUAGUGCUGCAGCUAACGCAUUAAGCACUCCGCCUGGGGAGUACGACCGCAAGGUUGAAACUCAAAGGAAUUGACGGGGACCCGCACAAGCGGUGGAGCAUGUGGUUUAAUUCGAAGCAACGCGAAGAACCUUACCAAAUCUUGACAUCCUUUGACAACUCUAGAGAUAGAGCCUUCCCCUUCGGGGGACAAAGUGACAGGUGGUGCAUGGUUGUCGUCAGCUCGUGUCGUGAGAUGUUGGGUUAAGUCCCGCAACGAGCGCAACCCUUAAGCUUAGUUGCCAUCAUUAAGUUGGGCACUCUAAGUUGACUGCCGGUGACAAACCGGAGGAAGGUGGGGAUGACGUCAAAUCAUCAUGCCCCUUAUGAUUUGGGCUACACACGUGCUACAAUGGACAAUACAAAGGGCAGCGAAACCGCGAGGUCAAGCAAAUCCCAUAAAGUUGUUCUCAGUUCGGAUUGUAGUCUGCAACUCGACUACAUGAAGCUGGAAUCGCUAGUAAUCGUAGAUCAGCAUACUACGGUGAAUACGUUCCCGGGUCU